UGGCAGAACAUCUCAUAAUCAAGCAGUGACAUCAUACGCAAAGAUGCUAUUGUCAAACAAUAAGGAGGAUGCUUUAAUUUCGAAAUGAACAUAGUAUUAAACUAGCUACUUCUCAGCAUGGCUGCGAAAUCAUGAAGAGGUGUAAUGCGAUUUAUGUUCUUUAGUUAUUCCCUCAUUACGACAUUACCAUGAUUGGAAGUGACAAGUCGGUGGUCUCUUCCCAACUUUCCAGUUUAUUCCUUCCGCCAAGUGCUCCUUGGUCGGUGUCAACAUUACAAAGUUUGGAUCAGCCUUUUCAUAGCUGCAAUUUCAAAGAUGUCAAACAGUAAGAAAUUUUCAAAGCAGGAAAUGGGCUAAAAAGCUCCCAUGAAUUGAUUUUAGGCCAGGAAUCAGGAAAUCAAGAUUUUAAUUUAACGUCUAUAUCUCUCUACCAGUUUUUCCCUGCCUUCCCUCUAAGAUCUACUAUGCUAAUGAGCAAUCGAUACCUAUUGAUAAUGUCACCACUACUAACCUGAGAUCUGACAAUCUACCAUCACAAUGUGACCAAAUCCAAAACAUCAUUGACUAGGUCAUCUAAAUUGGGGUAAAGGAAGUAGAAAAAAUAUACUACUAAACCAUCUUUCAUUCAAAUAUACAGAUAUCAACAAAAGGAAAGUUCACAUGUACUGUGGUUCUAUCAAAAUAUCUAAAAGACAAACUCCAAGCAUGACAUAUACUAUCACAUAUGAAUGCAUAUCAGGAGAUAUUAGCCACUUACAAUGUUGAUAUUAAAACGAUUUUACAAGAAAAUCAUGUCCGCGUCUUUAAGUUGCAAAAGACAGUCACCCUGGAAAUUCACAAUGCUAAUAAAUCCAUCGGAAGAGGCAAUAUGAAAAAAAAACAGAAACAUAUUGAGCUCAAAAGCAUAAAAUCAAACUGGAAAUGCAAUUGAUAGGACAUGCCAGACUGCCAUGGAAACUUAGCUUCUCGUCAGUGUGUUUCGAUUUCACAUUGGCUUCAGAAAACUUAUUAUUGUGAAUAAGAUACAAUUUUCUCAAACUUCAGAAAACUUAUUAUUGUGAAUAAGACACAAUUUUCUCAAAGAUACAAAGCAUACAAUUGACAGGUAAAAAUCUGGUUGUAAUAGAAAGGAAACAACCUAAUUUCAUAAAAAGGGGAAAGGCUCGCUGAUUCAUAUAACUUCUUUUAGACACACAAUUAUUGUAUCGAUCAAAUUGAGUUGAUCAGUUUCAAUAAAAUAAAUUACUGCUAAAAGGUGAUUCCUUGAACAGUAAACAAAAACUGAUUCCAAGUGUAAGCAAAAUCUGAUACAAAAUGACA